UGGGGAAUAUUGCACAAUGGGCGCAAGCCUGAUGCAGCAACGCCGCGUGAACGAAGAAGGUCUUCGGAUUGUAAAGUUCUGUCCUUAGGGAAGAAGGAAGUGACGGUACCUAAGGAGGAAGCCCCGGCUAACUACGUGCCAGCAGCCGCGGUAAUACGUAGGGGGCAAGCGUUAUCCGGAAUGAUUGGGCGUAGAGAGUACGUAGGUGGUUUCGUAAGCGCAGGGUGAAAGGCAGUGGCUUAACCAUUGUAAGCCUUGCGAACUGCGAGACUUGAGUGCAGGAGAGGAAAAGCGGAAUUCCUAGUGUAGCGGUGAAAUGCUUAGAUAUUAGGAGGAACACCAGUGGCGAAGGCGGCUUUCUGGACUGUAACUGACACUGAGGUACGAAAGCGUGGGGAGCAAACAGGAUUAGAUACCC
rnacentral:rRNA from 1 species